rnacentral:rRNA from 1 species
AGAGUUUGAUCAUGGCUCAGGACGAACGCUGGCGGCGUGCUUAACACAUGCAAGUCGAACGGAAAGGCCCUUCGGGGUACUCGAGUGGCGAACGGGUGAGUAACACGUGGGUGAUCUGCCCUGCACUUUGGGAUAAGCCUGGGAAACUGGGUCUAAUACCGAAUAGGACCACGCGCUUCAUGGUGUGUGGUGGAAAGCUUUUGCGGUGUGGGAUGGGCCCGCGGCCUAUCAGCUUGUUGGUGGGGUAAUGGCCUACCAAGGCGACGACGGGUAGCCGGCCUGAGAGGGUGUCCGGCCACACUGGGACUGAGAUACGGCCCAGACUCCUACGGGAGGCAGCAGUGGGGAAUAUUGCACAAUGGGCGCAAGCCUGAUGCAGCGACGCCGCGUGGGGGAUGACGGCCUUCGGGUUGUAAACCUCUUUCAGUAUCGGCGAAGCUCCAGGAUUUUUCUUGGGGUGACGGUAGGUACAGAAGAAGCACCGGCCAACUACGUGCCAGCAGCCGCGGUAAUACGUAGGGUGCGAGCGUUGUCCGGAAUUACUGGGCGUAAAGAGCUCGUAGGUGGUUUGUCACGUUGUCCGUGAAAACUCACAGCUUAACUGUGGGCGUGCGGGCGAUACGGGCAGACUAGAGUACUGCAGGGGAGAUUGGAAUUCCUGGUGUAGCGGUGGAAUGCGCAGAUAUCAGGAGGAACACCGGUGGCGAAGGCGGGUCUCUGGGCAGUAACUGACGCUGAGGAGCGAAAGCGUGGGGAGCGAACAGGAUUAGAUACCCUGGUAGUCCAA